AAACAUGUUCCUGCGGCUCGGUACGCUUCAGUGGUUUACAAACACGGAGCGCUCGUAUUAUUCAAUGAAACUCAAUGACGCACAGGUUCUAAGUGUAAUGAGGGAUCAGCGGGUCGUGAGCUCGCACAGAUCCUGUCUGUUCCAGCCGUAAAGCAAUUGAGAACGCCGAGUUAUGAGACAGAAAUUUUGUAGGAGAGAUGUAGGUACUGUUCUUUGUACCUACUGUAUACACAAUAUUUUUGCAAUCGGUAAUUUGGUGUGCCAAGUCAUAUGAAUAAGAGAGAAAUGAAAUAUGGUUGUAUAUAAGCCCCAUCUACCCUGGACGUCGUAUAAAUUAGAGUUUAGUAAUGAAGUAAUGGCGCCUCUGAGUCCCGGUCGGAGUAGAGACAACGCUCCGUGCGUCGAAGCACGUACGCCACUUGCGGAGCGCGUCUCCAUAAUACAACGAGUUACAUCGACGAGAAUUUCAGGAAGAAUACCGGUGAGCAAAAAAUGUCUGAUUCUGUCGAAAAGCAAUGAUUCAGUUUCAAGAUAUUGCUGUAAUUGCUUCGGUCCCAAAAGCCAAAAUGACCCACAGCAUCCAUUAUAGAUUACAAUAAGCUAUUUCUAAACUGUGUUUUUCUGUUAAGUAUUAAAUCGAAACUGCAGCAUAAAUAAUGUCCAAGGACGGAAGUAAGCAACUGUAGUAAAAGUAAAACCUGAAGUAAAACCUGUAUUGAAGACGAUAUUUCUAUAGCGCCUGGGAAACACCCAUUAAUAAGAAAAUAAUAAUGGAAUGCUCUCCCUCCUCGUCCUCAGAGUCACGUGGUGAGGUACCACGAAAUUUACGGCACAAACCGGUACAAACCCUGAAAGGGCAUGCACGGUACCGCGUUGCUAUGAGCGUGACUUGUGUCGACAUAUGCAUAUUAUAUUAUACUCUCGGAUAUCUGUUUAUCAAGCAAUGGAGACUUUGACCCGGCUCAAGGUGGUUGACUUCUGGUCUUUGACUGACAAUAAUUUAAACACUAUCUUACGAAUUUAUUUAUAUUUGGCUUUACUAAUGUUUCUUAAUUGUUUCCGGAUUGUUGAAAAAAUAAAUGAAAUAUGUAAUUCCAAAUAGU